GGUCGAUGAUGAGUAGUAAAAGGUCUGACUGCCCAGGUCCCCUCCCAGCAUCCUGAAUGUCCCCAGCUGCCUCAAUCCCAUCAGGCUCCAGUGGUGCCACAAUGGGCCAGAGAGCAGCUGACAGGCAGGGAUGGCUUGAGUCUGUGUUCCCUGGUGAGCCAAGGGAAGACACGGUGGUUGCAUCCAACAGCUUAGCCACGAAGGGCAAGGGACUUUUGGUUGGGAGAGCUGGUAUCUGUGGCUGUGAUCUGACGUUUUCAAGCUGAGACC
rnacentral:snoRNA from 17 species